rnacentral:rRNA from 1 species
CCAUUUCCGGCCUGUUUAGAAUGCAAGUCGCACGGGGCGGAUCAGGUAGCAAUAUUUGGUCCGUUCAGUGGCGCACGGGUGAGUAACACGUGAACAACAUGCCCUUCAGUGGGGGAUAGCCCAGGGAAACUUGGAUUAAUACCCCAUGGUCUCGCGAGAGUAAAGGUGGUCCCGCGCGAGCGGGACUGCCGCUGGAGGAUUGGUUCGCGCCCUAUCAGCUAGUUGGCGGGGUAACGGCCCACCAAGGCGACGACGGGUACCUGGUCUGAGAGGACGAUCAGGCACACUGGAACUGAGACACGGUCCAGACACCUACGGGUGGCAGCAGUCGAGAAUAAUUCACAAUGGGGGCAACCCUGAUGGUGCAACGCCGCGUGGAGGAUGACGGUCUUCGGAUUGUAAACUCCUGUCAUCCGGGAGCAAGACCUGACGGUGAAGAGCCGGCAGGGUUGAUAGUACCGGAAGAGGAAGGGACGGCUAACUUCGUGCCAGCAGCCGCGGUAAUACGAAGGUCCCGAGCGUUGUUCGGAAUCACUGGGCGUAAAGGGAGCGUAGGCGGCGUGGCAAGUCAGACGUGAAAGCCCGGGGCUCAACCCCGGAACUGCGUCCGAUACUGCCGUGCUUUGAGGGUUGGAGAGGUAGCUGGAAUUCUUGGUGUAGCAGUGAAAUGCGUGGAGAUCAAGAGGAACACUCGUGGCGAAAGCGAGCUACUGGACAACACCUGACGCUGAGGCUCGAAGGCCAGGGUAGCGAAAGGGAUUAGAUACCCCUGUAGUCCUGGCAGUAAACGGUGCACGCUUGGUGUGGGAGGACUCGACCCCUCCCGUACCGGAGCAAACGCGUUAAGCGUGCCGCCUGGGAAGUACGGUCGCAAGACUAAAACUCAAAGGAAUUGACGG